CGUACCGGUUACCAGGGUUUAGGUAUAAAUACCAAAACUCUUCCACAUUUAUUUUCUCCCUCCGUCAGUGCGCCAUUUAGGGUUUCAAAGGCGGCUAAGCAAGAGAGAGCGAGCUUCUGUGUGCAGGACCACCAUGAGGGCCAAGUGGAAGAAGAAGCGCAUGAGGAGAUUGAAGAGGAAGCGCCGAAAGAUGAGACAGAGAUCGAAGUAGACAAGUGGCUUCCUUAGGGAUUAUUUCUUUAAUUGCCGUUUUUGGGUCUUGUGGGAAGGGUUUGUGACUUAAUUUUUUUUUCAAUUUGCUGUUCUUUUAAGUCUGUCCUUGUCUUUGCAACUUAAUCAUUAUUGAUACUGGAUUUUUCGGUUUUGUUAACAAUUGAUAGAUAUCAUAUGGAUUUUUCUCGUCUGGAUCUUGACUUUGUGGAUGUAUAGAUUUGCCUCAGAUUGUCUAUCAAUAGACUUGGAAUUGUGUUCU